rnacentral:ncRNA from 1 species
AGAUCCCAAAACAAUUUUGGGACACUACGUCGAUUAAAAGGGAAUCUGGUGCAACUCCAGAACUGUUCCCGCAACUGUAAAUUUAUGCCGAUGUCACCCUGAGCGCAGUCGAAGGGUUGUUUCGGUACCUCAAAAGAGGAUGUUAUUCACUUCAAACCACUGGUUUUUUACUGGGAAGGUUAAAUAGCAUAAAACAAGUCAGGAGACCUGCCACAAUUCAUAAUUUAAU